rnacentral:rRNA from 1 species
GACUGUGCUAAGGUAGCAUAAUCAUUUGGCCUUUAAUUGGGGUCUGGUAUGAAUGGAAAAACGUAGGAAUAACUGUCUUUAUUUAAAAUUAAGUUGAACUUGGUUAUUAAGGUGAAAAUACCUUAAAUAAAACAAUAGACGAGAAGACCCUUAGACCUUUUAUAAAUUUAUAAUUAUUUAUAUUACAUUUUUGUUGGGGCGACAUUGUAUCAAAUACUUUUAAGAUUAACAUACAUUAAUAAUUUUUAUUUCUACCUACUUGUAGUAUUAAUAAAUAAGGUACCUGAGGGAUAACAGCAUUAUUAUAUUAUUUACAUUGUGACCUCGAUGUUGGACUAGGA